UACGUAGGGUCGAGCGUUGUCCGGAAUUACUGGGCGUAAAGAGCUCGUAGGUGGUUUGUCGCGUCGACUGUGAAACCGCGGCUCACCGCGGCCUGCAGCCGAUACGGGCAGGCUAGAUGUUCGGUAGGGGAGGACUGGAAUUCCUGGUGUAGCGGUGAAAUGCGCAGAUAUCAGGAGGAACACCGAUGGCGAAGGCAGGUCUCUGGGCCGAUACUGACGCUGAGGAGCGAAAGCGUGGGGAGCGAACAGG
rnacentral:rRNA from 1 species